rnacentral:rRNA from 1 species
GUUGCACUAUCGUUAACUGAAUACAUAGGUUAACGAGGCGAACCGGGGGAACUGAAACAUCUAAGUACCCCGAGGAAAAGAAAUCAACCGAGAUUCCCCCAGUAGCGGCGAGCGAACGGGGAGCAGCCCAGAGUCUGAAUCAGCUUGUGUGUUAGUGGAACGGUCUGGAAAGUCCGACGGUACAGGGUGAUAGUCCCGUACACCAAAAUGCACAGGCUGUGAACUCGAAGAGUAGGGCGGGACACGUGGUAUCCUGUCUGAAUAUGGGGGGACCAUCCUCCAAGGCUAAAAUACUCCUGACUGACCGAUAGUGAACCAGUACCGUGAGGGAAAGGCGAAAAAGACCCCGGCGAGGGGAGUGAAAAAGAACCUGAAACCGUGUACGUACAAGCAGUGGGAGCACCUUCGGGUGUGACUGCGUACCUUUUGUAUAAUGGGUCAGCGACUUAUAUUCUGUAGC